rnacentral:rRNA from 1 species
UACGUAGGGUGCGAGCGUUAUCCGGAAUUAUUGGGCGUAAAGCGUCCGCAGGUGGCUGUUCAAGUCUGCUGUCAAAGCGCAGAGCUUAACUCUGUACAGGCGGUGGAAACUGAAGAGCUAGAGUAUGGUAGGGGUAGAGGGAAUUCCCGGUGUAGCGGUGAAAUGCGUAGAUAUCGGGAAGAACACCAGUGGCGAAAGCGCUCUACUGGGCCAUAACUGACACUGAGGGACGAAAGCUAGGGGAGCGAAAGGG